rnacentral:sRNA from 1 species
GAGGCGACCUGGCCGCCGGCCGCUCCUCCGCGCGCUGUUCCGCACUUGCUGCCCUCGCCCGGCCCGGAGCGCCGCUGCCAUGCGGCUGGCGCUGCUCUGGGCUCUGGGGCUCCUGGGCGCGGGCAGCCCUCUGCCUUCCUGGCCGCUCCCAAAUAUAGCCCUGCUGUCAAUUCCCUCAGUACUGUCUUGGGGUGUCCUGGGACCUGCAGGUGGCACUGAGGAGCAGCAGGCAGAGUCAGAGAAGGCCCCGAGGGAGCCCUUGGAGCCCCAGGUCCUUCAGGACGAUCUCCCAAUUAGCCUCAAAAAGGUGCUUCAGACCAGUCUGCCUGAGCCCCUGAGGAUCAAGUUGGAGCUGGACGGUGACAGUCAUAUCCUGGAGCUGCUACAGAAUAGGGAGUUGGUCCCAGGCCGCCCAACCCUGGUGUGGUACCAGCCCGAUGGCACUCGGGUGGUCAGUGAGGGACACACUCUGGAGAACUGCUGCUACCAGGGAAGAGUGCGGGGAUAUGCAGGCUCCUGGGUGUCCGUCUGCACCUGCUCUGGGCUCAGAGGCUUGGUGGUCCUGACCCCAGAGAGAAGCUAUACCCUGGAGCAGGGGCCUGGGGACCUUCAGGGUCCUCCCAUUAUUUCGCGAAUCCAAGAUCUCCACCUGCCAGGCCACACCUGUGCCCUGAGCUGGCGGGAAUCUGUACACACUCAGACGCCACCAGAGCACCCCCUGGGACAGCGCCACAUUCGCCGGAGGCGGGAUGUGGUAACAGAGACCAAGACUGUGGAGUUGGUGAUUGUGGCUGAUCACUCGGAGGUGAGCCUGCUGGCCCCUGCACAUCCUCCUCCCCCUGCACUGCCCUGCCGCCUUUCAUGUCACCUCUCUUGGCCUACAGGCCCAGAAAUACCAGGACUUCCAGCACCUGCUAAACCGCACACUGGAAGUGGCUCUCUUGCUGGACACAGUGAGUGCUGGACAGAGCAACCCCCACCCCAGGCCCCUGACCAUGACAACCCCUCUUCUGAGCCCCAGCUGUCUUUCAGUUCUUCCAGCCCCUGAAUGUACGAGUGGCACUAGUGGGCCUGGAGGCCUGGACCCAGCGUGACCUGGUGGAGAUCAGCCCAAACCCAGCUGUCACCCUCGAAAACUUCCUCCACUGGCGCAGGGCACAUUUGCUGCCUCGAUUGCCCCAUGACAGUGCCCAGCUGGUGACUGGUACUUCAUUCUCUGGGCCUACGGUGGGCAUGGCCAUUCAGAACUCCAUCUGUUCUCCUGACUUCUCAGGAGGUGUGAACAUGGACCACUCCACCAGCAUCCUGGGAGUCGCCUCCUCCAUAGCCCAUGAGUUGGGCCACAGCCUGGGCCUGGACCAUGAUUUGCCUGGGAAUAGCUGCCCCUGUCCAGGUCCAGCCCCAGCCAAGACCUGCAUCAUGGAGGCCUCCACAGACUUCCUACCAGGCCUGAAUUUCAGCAACUGCAGCCGACGGGCCCUGGAGAAAGCCCUCCUGGAUGGAAUGGGCAGCUGCCUCUUUGAACGGCUGCCUAGCCUACCCACUAUGGCUGCUUUCUGCGGAAAUAUGUUUGUGGAGCCGGGCGAGCAGUGUGACUGUGGCUUCCUGGAUGACUGCAUCGAUCCCUGCUGUGAUUCCUCGACCUGCCAGCUGAGGCCAGGUGCACAGUGUGCAUCUGACGGACCCUGUUGUCAAAAUUGCCAGCUGCGCCCGUCUGGCUGGCAGUGUCGUCCUACCAGAGGGGAUUGUGACUUGCCUGAAUUCUGCCCAGGAGACAGCUCCCAGUGUCCCCCUGAUGUCAGCCUAGGGGAUGGCGAGCCCUGCGCUGGUGGGCAAGCUGUGUGCAUGCACGGGCGUUGUGCCUCCUAUGCCCAGCAGUGCCAGUCACUUUGGGGACCUGGAGCCCAGCCCGCUGCGCCACUUUGCCUCCAGACAGCUAAUACUCGGGGAAAUGCUUUUGGGAGCUGUGGGCGCAACCCCAGUGGCAGUUAUGUGUCCUGCACCCCUAGAGAUGCCAUUUGUGGGCAGCUCCAGUGCCAGACAGGUAGGACCCAGCCUCUGCUGGGCUCCAUCCAGGAUCUACUCUGGGAGACAAUAGAUGUGAAUGGGACUGAGCUGAACUGCAGCUGGGUGCACCUGGACCUGGGCAGUGAUGUGGCCCAGCCCCUCCUGACUCUGCCUGGCACAGCCUGUGGCCCUGGCCUGGUGUGUAUAGACCAUCGAUGCCAGCGUGUGGAUCUCCUGGGGGCACAGGAAUGUCGAAGCAAAUGCCAUGGACAUGGGGUCUGUGACAGCAACAGGCACUGCUACUGUGAGGAGGGCUGGGCACCCCCUGACUGCACCACUCAGCUCAAAGCAACCAGCUCCCUGACCACAGGGCUGCUCCUCAGCCUCCUGGUCUUAUUGGUCCUGGUGAUGCUUGGUGCCAGCUACUGGUACCGUGCCCGCCUGCACCAGCGACUCUGCCAGCUCAAGGGACCCACCUGCCAGUACAGGGCAGCCCAAUCUGGUCCCCCUGAACGGCCAGGACCUCCGCAGAGGGCCCUGCUGGCACAAGGCACUAAGCAGGCUAGUGCUCUCAGCUUCCCGGCCCCCCCUUCCAGGCCGUUGCCGCCUGACCCUGUGUCCAAGAGACUCCAGGUAAAUCUGGGCCAGGGCCCGCCCUGAGCCAAGGCAGGUGGGAGGCUUGGUACCCAACUGCAGUUCUCAUCCCUGCUCCCUGCCAGUGGUGCUCUUCAUUAGGUGAUCGGGGUGCCCCUCAGCCUUCAGACACUCUGAGCCCCAGAAGCAGCAAAGGGUGAGCCUCCUGCCUUGGUUUCUACCACCAUCUGGUGGUCAAUGGCGGGACUGCAGUCGGCCAGGGACUGCGGUUGACCUACACCUUCCUCCCCUGAGACAUCAGCUGGCAU